UCUUAUGGAUGAGCAAAGAAAGUGGUCUCUUUAGGUAGAAUCUACUCCUGGUGAAGAGGCUGUGAA
rnacentral:pre_miRNA from 1 species